UUUAGAUCAUUUGCUCCAGAAGAAGCUGGUUGCCAUGUCUUGAGGACAGUAAACCCUCUGGGGAGGUUCCUGUGGUAAGGAACAAGGGCUCCUGGCAAUAGCCUCUGAGUGAGCCACCUUGAAAAUGGAUUGUCCAGCCCCAGUCAAGCUUUCAGAUGACUGUAGCUCCUGCCAAUGUCUUCACCACAACCUCAUGAGAUCCCAAGCUACAACCACUCAGUUAAGUUAUGCCAAAAUUCCUGAUUCACAGAAAUUGACAUACAGGAGAGGUCACAGUUAAGAUCUUGAUGUUCUAUCUUGACCCAUAAUAUAGGAACUUCAUCUUUUGGGAAGCACCAGGGAGAGCUGCCUGUGCCUGGCAGAAGCUGCCCAUGCCCCACUGAUACCCCACAGUACUUCCUGUUCUGCUUAGUACUCCUGCUUCUUUCUACAAACAACUGUGAUUCUCUACCUGGGAGCUUCCUCUGGCCACAGGAGCCUGCUCACCUGAUUGGGACACCCUAGCAGUACUGGUGAGUUAUAGCUUCCAGGAGCAGCUCUCUUCCAGCAAAGGAAAGGGUUGGCUGAACAGUACUUCAGCUGCCUCUGCUAGUGUGUGGGGCAAUGUUAAGACAUGCUCCACACAGUAAUGCAGGGGUCCCAGCAAGGUGGAGCCCCACUUGUCCACAGUAGUAACUUGCCAGUAGAUGCCUGCAUUGACUUUCUUCCCUGCUGUGCCUUUCUUUCCAUUCCCCUGCCAGUGCUUCCUGGAAUCAUCUCCCUCAUCAAUCAUUUGUUCCUAAAUUCUGUCUGAGUCUGUUUCUGAGGAAACCCAACCUGAGUCAUCGUCCCUCUUCUCCCCUCCUCACAUUCUCUUCACUGGGGGAGGAUGGAUUGAGUUGACUGGCAAAUUCGGGAGAAGGAGUUUGCAUCGGAGUGCGUGACUCAGCUGAGGCUGGGCUCUGUUUCUUCAGAAUGAAGUGCAUUCAGAUUCGAUGUGUAUCCUGUCUCUGGGAAGCCCCAUGCUCUGCUCAUCUUAGCAUGAUUACUAAGGUACACUCUGCCCUUGCAAGGGGAAGGCCCGAGAUUUGCUGCUGGCAGGCUCAGUGGGAGUUGGAUGUUUUAUGUAACCUGAUUGUGGAUAUAGAUCAAUUCAUGCUUUUCAAUUCAGUCCUCUCUCUAAUAAACUGCUGUCAUAAGCCCCAACAGGCUCAUAGAUGGAAGGGACUUGCCUUGUCGCUGAUGAGACUUUCGACUUGGACUUUUGAGUCAAUGCUGGAAUGAGUUAAGACUUUGGGGAACUGUUGGAAGGGUGUGAUUGUGUUUUGAAUUGUGAGGACAUGAGAUUUUGAAGAGGCUAAUGGCAGCGUCCCCACCUAAAUCUCUUCUUGAAUUGUAGUUCCCAUAAUCCCCACGUGUCGUGGGGUGGAGCCGGUGGAGAUAAUUGAAUCAUGGGAACACUUUCCCCCAUGCUGUUAUUGUGAUUGUGAAUUCUCACGAGAUCUGAUGGUUGUAUAAACGCCUUCCCUCUUCGCUGGGCACUCAUUUUUCUCCUUCCUGCCACCAUGUGAAGAAGGAUAUGCUUGCUUCUUGUGCCAUGAUUGUAAGUUUCCUGAGGCCUCCCCAGCCAUGCUGAACUGUGAGUCAAUUGAACCUCUUUCCUUUAUAAAUUACCUAGUCUUGGAUAUGUUUUUAUUAGCAGUGUGAGACAGGACUAAUACACAAAGGAUUUGAAAUCACAAAGGAGCUGUUUUCUGCUCCACCAUGGAAGUCUCACAUGCAUCACAUCUAUUCAUAUCCAUUUGCCACAACUAGACAAAAAGUCCUUUUUAAAAUCUGCCUAGAGAUCAGGAAGUAUUAUCUCUGGAUGCCUAGGCAGGAGAGGUGAAUCAGAUAUUGGUGGGCACUAGUGUGUUCUAUGAUACAUAGCUUAAUAAAAAUAAGUUUCAGAUAAAUCUAAAUAUACAUUAGAAUACUGUAACCACAGUAGAAAAAAAUAUUGGCUCCUUUUUGUGAUAAACUAAUGAUGGUAAAUGCACCCUAUUUAAGCAAGAAAAGAAACUGAUCUGCCA
rnacentral:lncRNA from 1 species